rnacentral:rRNA from 1 species
AGUUGAUUAUGGCUCAGGAUGAACGCUGGCGGCGUGCCUAAUACAUGCAAGUCGAACGGAGUUGUGUAGCAAUACGGCAGCUUAGUGGCGAACGGGUGAGUAACGCGUUGGUGACCUGCCCCGAAGAGGGGGAUAACAGUCCGAAAGGAUUGCUAAUACCCCAUGUGGUUGCCGGUUUUAGAAUCUGGUAACUAAAGUCGUAAGACACUUUGGGAGGGACCUGCGUCCCAUCAGCUAGUUGGUAAGGUAACGGCUUACCAAGGCGACGACGGGUAGGGGACCUGAGAGGGUGGACCCCCCACAAUGGCACUGAAACACGGGCCAUACACCUACGGGUGGCAGCAGUAGGGAAUAUUGCUUAAUGUGCGAAAGCGCGAAGCAGCAACGCCGCGUGUGCGAUGAAGGCCUCGGGUCGUAAAGCUACUUUUAGAGGGAUGAGAAAGGACAGUACCUCUAGAAUAAGCCUCGGCUAACUACGUGCCAGCCGCCGC